rnacentral:lncRNA from 10 species
GGCUGAGCCCCAUAGUAUCUGCCUUAUUUGGGUCAUUUAGUUUGUGGGUAGAAACGUCCCCUUUUAAAGAAAACGCUGCUAACCAUUCACUCAAAACUCUACAUAGUGUUAGAUCUGAACCAAUGUUUCUCAAAGUUCAAACAGGUGAAAUGGUCUUCUGCAAGGCAGCCUCACCUUCAGGUGUACCUGUAUGAGGCCCCUGGCAACUUCACACGACCUAACUGAACUCUCUCAAGCCAUCCUUUCAAAAGGAAUGAAAAUUGAGGUCUCUUGUUUUAUGCUGAAGACUCUACGAUGCCUGCAGAGUCAGGAACUCUGGAAUCUUAGGUGUCCUCCUUACAUAUCCAUCUCCAUCACCCUUGGCUGAACAUGCUGAGAAAGAAUGACCCGGCAUGCAUGCAGAGAAGAGUCACUACUUUCUGUGUUCAAACAUGUUCGGGCCCUGUGUACACACUCUAUGCAUCACCCAGCACGGUCCUGUUUUUGUGUAGCGUGGCUUCAUUCUUUUGCAAUUCUACUCCCAGCGAGCCAUAUGAUAAUUUUUUUUAAUUAAAAGAAAUUUUAAAUAGUUUUUUUUUUAAUCUCUGGAAAUGUUUAAGAUAUCUCCUAAAAGAACUCGGGAAUGGGUGAUUGUGUUUUGUGUAUCCAGCAAGGUUAUAAUUAAAUUUGCAAAAACUCCAUCCCCCUUUGAAUGAGUUAUAAAAACCAGCAGCAAGUGAAGUUAUCAGUAAUUAGGCUGAUACUUUUAUGUGUCUGAUGUCUGUCUUAUUUUCUUUUUUCUUUUCUUUUUUUUUUUUUUUUGAGACAGUCUUGCUCUGUCGCCCAGGCUGGAAUGCAGGGGUGUGAUCUCGGCUCAUUGCAACCUCUGCCUCCU